CCUACGGGUGGCAGCAGUGAGGAAUAUUGGUCAAUGGACGUAAGCCUGAACCAGCCAAGUCGCGUGAGGGAUGAAGGUUCUAUGGAUCGUAAACCUCUUUUAUAUGGGAAUAAAGUGUGGUAUGUGUCCUCUUUUGUAUGUACCUUAUGAAUAAGGAUCGGCUAACUCCGUGCCAGCAGCCGCGGUAAUACGGAGGAUCCGAGCGUUAUCCGGAUUUAUUGGGUUUAAAGGGUGCGUAGGUGGCUUGUUAAGUCAGUGGUGAAAGUCUGUGGCUCAACCAUAGAAUUGCCGUUGAAACUGGGAGGCUGGAGUAUGGUAGAGGUAGGCGGAAUGCGUGGUGUAGCGGUGAAAUGCUUAGAUAUCACGCAGAACCCCGAUUGCGAAGGCAGCUUGCUAAGCUAUGACUGACGCUGAUGCACGAAAGUGUGGGGAUCAAACAGGAUUAGAUACCCUUGUAGUC
rnacentral:rRNA from 1 species